GCAGUUGCUGUAGCAGCAACACUUGUGACAUCACAGAAUAAGCUAGGGCUCUCCAGGAUACAAGAGAUUUUUCAGGGAGGGCCUAAUGAUUGUGUCACUGAGGACUGCCAUGGCCUACCUGGGGAACAGCUUUCCUUACAUUGAAUAGAUUCAAGGAUGCGAUUUGCAGGUGUGUCCCCUGUGACACAGUGGAAACCUGAACCACAAAAAGCAGGGAAAUCCAGAUGCAGCUGACAGGCUCCAAGCUCCUGAUCCCAUGUGUGGAAGGCUCUGAUCAAUUCUAUCUCUUCAAUUUUCCUACUCAACUCUUACCUAGGACGCAGUGAGAUUUCCCAGUUAAUGCAAGAGGCCUCAUGCCAGAAGGAAACAGGUGGAAGAUGGGGAAUCAGACAUGAUUAAUAAAAGGCAUUACAUCUUAAUUUGAAAGAAUUCCAAAACCCCUGAAGACAACUUAAGACAUCAUUCUUGGUGAUGGAGCAACUAUAAGAUUCUUGAACUUAACUUUCACAGCCAGCCAUUGUUGGAUUAGCUGGACCAGAG